GCCUGGGUGGCUCAGUCGGUUGAGCGUCCGAUUUUGGCUCAGGUCAUGAUCUCACAGCUCGUGAGUUCGAGCCCCACGUCAGGCU
rnacentral:tRNA from 1 species